CUUGACUAGACGGACCUUAGUCGGCAAUGUCUCUGCUUUUGAAUAUACUAUCUAGGUUGGUCAUAACUUUCCUUCCAAGGAGUAAGCGUCUUUUAAUUUCAUGGCUGCAAUCACCAUCUGCAGUGAUUUUGGAGCCCAAAAAAGUAAAGUCUGACACUGUUUCCACUGUUUCCCCAUCUAUUUCCCAUGAACUGAUGGUACCAGAUGCCAUGAUCUUCGUUUUCUGAAUGUUGAGCUUUAAGCCAACUUUUUCACUCUCCUCUUUCACUUUCAUCAAGAGGCUUUUUAGUUCCUCUUCACUUUCUGCCAAAAGGGUGGUGUCAUCUGCAUAUCUGAGGUUAUUGAUAUUUCUCCCAGCAAUCUUGAUUCCAGCUUGUGCUUCUUCCAGCCCAGCAUUUCUCAUGAUGUACUCUGCAUAUAAGUUAAAUAAACAGGGUGACAAUAUACAGCCUUGACGUACUCCUUUCCCAAU
ensembl:lncRNA